UGGGGAAUAUUGCGCAAUGGGGGCAACCCUGACGCAGCCAUACCGCGUGUGUGAAGAAGGCCUUAGGGUUGUAAAGCACUUUCAGCGAGGAGGAAAGGAUGUACGUUAAUAGCGUGCAUCUGUGACGUUACUCGCAGAAGAAGCACCGGCUAAUUCAGUGCCAGCAGCCGCGGUAAUACUGAAGGUGCAAGCGUUAAUCGGAAUUACUGGGCGUAAAGCGCGCGUAGGCGGUUUGUUAAGUCGGAUGUGAAAGCCCCGGGCUCAACCUGGGAACUGCAUUCGAUACUGGCAAGCUAGAGUAUGGGAGAGGGCUGUGGAAUUUCUAGUGUAGCGGUGAAAUGCGUAGAUAUUAGAAGGAACAUCAGUGGCGAAGGCGGCAGCCUGGCCCAAUACUGACGCUGAGGUGCGAAAGCGUGGGGAGCAAACAGG
rnacentral:rRNA from 1 species